CGGGAAACGUCGUUUAAUGAGGUGUAGUCGGUAUAUGCUGCACGUACCGGACACAUACCGGCACACACCGGCUACAUUUCCUCUCUGCUCUUCAAUGUCACUGCCGGAGAUGAGCCACACGUAACGCUACAAACAGACACAGCGCGGUGGAAAGAAAGUCUACUUCCGACCGGAGGACUGCGUCGGUUGACUUUACUAGAACACAACGCCCCCUGCUGGAGGAAACACGGCGCCUGCUGAGAUGCGUCCAGCUGGCAGGAAAAAGUCCUGAAGCCCCAGCAGAGCCACACUUCUGUUUGUUUCAACACAACACAAUUGAGUUUAAUAGUUUAUUGUAAUUUACCGAUAUAUUUCCUAUCAUAUAUGUAUUUCCCCUCGGUAAUCCUCUUACUAAGCAUACCUUUAAAUAUAUACUAAUCAUAUUUAGCAACAGAGCUCUGGAAUAAAUCAUUGACUCUCAGCAUUGUAAAAUGAAACA